UACAACCCCUAGCUCCCAGCAUCCUGCCCCCAGCAUUCCAGCAGCGCUGAGCUCUUGGUCGGAAGCAGGCAGAGAGGCCCAGGCUCAGAGCAGACCCUGCACAUCUCCAGCGGCUGUGCCCACUCCUGCCCAGCAUGGCUGUUGCUGGCCUUCUCAUCGGAGCAAUCCUGGCACUGGGACCCUCUGUGGCUCUGAUCCUGAUUGCAUUGGGUUUGUAUUCUCGUCUUGCCAAAGAAGGGUCAGAAAACUCCAAUCCUCUGAAUUUCAAGAUGUGUUUUGGCAUUCAAGUUGGAGCAAACUGACCUCCCUGGAUCCCCACUGGAACCCUCACUGAUGUCUGCCAUGACCCCCAAAACCAGAUCCUGUCUGGGAUCUGCUACAUCUGUCCUGUGACACCUGGUCCCCUUCCCCUCUCCCCCUUUGCUGUAUCUGACCCCUCAAAUAAAGAUGCCCCAACGCUGCCUUCCA